GGUGAUCCAGGUGAGAACAGGAAGAGACCUGAAGCUGAAAGAGUUCAGUCAGACUCCAUUUAGAGUCCCAGAGCAGAAGGAGGAGAACUGAAGGCUGAGGCAGGACUGACUGAAGUCCAGAAGAUGAGCACAGAGAAGAAGGAAGAGGAGGACGGAGCAGAGUCCUCAGGAUCCAGCUGUCUGUCUAUGAAGAGUGACUGGUCCAGUGAUCAACCUCCAUUCUUCAGUCCUGAACCUGGACCCUCAGACACAAAAGAGAGGAAGAGGAGUCCUGUUCCUGUGGAGGAGCAGCCGUCCUGCUGUGCUUUGUGUC